CAGAAAAUAGUUUAAAUUAAAAUUUUAAUUUUGGAGAUUAAAGAUAAAUAUUAUUUUUUUCUGA
rnacentral:tRNA from 1 species